UCAGUUGCUGCGGGAUUUCACAGUCAGGGACCAGUCCCUGUGGAAAGGUGGUAGAAAUAGCCUUUUGCUGCUUCUCUUCUUUGUGCAGGUGACAUGGAGACCUUCCCUGGGUGCUUCACUGAGGAGGAAGCUCUGACCCGCCCAGGGAGGCCAGCCCAAAAAGGAGGGAAUGAGAAAUCAGUCACAAAUUUCAUCCUAGUGGAGGCAGUCCAGGCAAACUGAGCAUUAGGAGACCAUGUGUAUGGAUGUAUUCCUUUGAGGUUCCCCUCAGCUGACCACCACAUUGCUCUAAAAAGGGAAGCCAUGGUCGCUAAAGCUUGGAGGUAUAUUAUGAAAUCAGGGUCUCCGUUCUUGCAUUUCUUAGCUCUAAGGCACUCCCCAAGUAACUUGAGUCAUAGCGGUGUGAGACCUCAACACUCAGUCCAGCAGUCAAACGUCAUCGCAUGAUGAAUGAAUCCUGUCUGAACGCCGGCUUUGUAAGGAAAGCAGUUUCAGUUCUACUGAGCCUGACCAUUUUGGGCAUCUGGUACAGCCAUCCCAAACAGCUGCUCCAUCUCUGGGUUGGACCGGGCUCUGCCGAUGUCCUGCCAAAAAGGAGAGUGGAGUGAGGAGCCUGUUGCAGACCCACCUCUGCUUCCCAAAGAGAGCAGAUAUAAUAGGAAUAAUUACCAUGAGGCACAAUGGAGAAACGCAGUCUAACACCCUGACUGAGGCUGAAUCACACCAGAGCCUGCAUUAG